UACAGAGGUGGCAAGCGUUGUUCGGAAUUACUGGGCGUAAAGGGCGCGUAGGCGGUUCGUUAAGUCCUGUGUGAAAUCCCCCGGCUCAACUGGGGAACUGCACAGGAAACUAGCGGGCUUGAGUUCGGGAGAGGGAAGCGGAAUUCCGGGUGUAGCGGUGAAAUGGCGUAGAUAUCCGGAGGAACACCGGUGGCGAAGGCGGCUUCCUGGACAAAUACCGACGGCUGAGGCACGAA
rnacentral:rRNA from 1 species